rnacentral:rRNA from 1 species
AUACGGAGGGGGCUAGCGUUAUUCGGAAUUACUGGGCGUAAAGCGCACGUAGGCGGACGUGAAAGUCAGAGGUGAAAUCCCAGGGCUCAACCUUGGAACUGCCUUUGAAACUUCUGUCUUGAGGUCGUGAGAGGUGAGUGGAAUUCCGAGUGUAGAGGUGAAAUUCGUAGAUAUUCGGAGGAACACCAGUGGCGAAGGCGGCUCACUGGCACGAUACUGACGCUGAGGUGCGAAAGCGUGGGGAGC